rnacentral:rRNA from 1 species
CCGGCGACCGGCGCACGGGUGAGUAACACGUAUGCGACCUGCCCCCGCAGGGGGAUAACCGGGAGAAAUCCCGACUAAUACCGCGUAACGCCGCGGACCUGCAUGGGUCUGCGGCCAAAGGAAGCGAUUCCGGCGGGGGAUGGGCAUGCGGCGCAUUAGCUAGUCGGCGGGGUAACGGCCCACCGUGGCGACGAUGCGUAGGGGUUCUGAGAGGAAGGCCCCCCACACUGGGACUGAGACACGGCCCAGACUCCUACGGAAGGCAGCAG